GCGCGCACAGCCAGGCCGAGCGGAAGCGGCGGGACCGAGGCGCUUCGCGGGAUCCUUGUUCGUCUCCGCGUGGAGCCUGGGUCCCGGCGGCCACCCCUGCGCUCCGCGGGGUCCUCCUGUCCCGCAGCGCCGUCCCCCACAGUCGUGGUGGCGGGAGGCGGCAGGGAGCGCUCCUGCCGCACUGCGCAGGCGCGAGUUGCGCAGCUGCUCCGGGACGAUGCACCCCGUUCGGGCUGGUGCCUCCCGCCAGAACGGGGCGGCGUUGGGCAAUCGCUCCGCCGCAUGUAAACCGACGGCGGGCCUGCGGGCCACCCGGUCUUCGGUGUAUGGAGCGGGCCCGCCCCGGAGUGAGCGCCCAAUGCUGUAUCAUUUCAUCUGGAGAACCUGCGGGACGACGCGGGCCUGCGAGGGGCUGCGCCCCCUGCACGUGCUGACCGCUCCCGGGAGCGGGCGGGGCGGGCCGUGGGCGGCCUCCCUCCAGACCCAGGCCGGACAGGGAGCCCCGCUGAGCAGCCGGCCCUGCACACCUCGCAAAGCUCCAGGGUUGAUGCUGAGAAAAGAUGGGCAACAUUCAACAGGAAGUGUCCGGGCAAAGGUAAUGGCUACAUGUCACCCACGCAUGGCCUCUAUGCUCUCUUCCCCAGCACCCCGAGAGCAAAGCUUCCUAACCUCCUGCCUAGAAGAGUCUGCAUCCCCUCUGGCCUGGCUGAGCCCCACUCACCCUGCAGCCUGCACAAAGCUCAUUCCUUCCCCGGCUCCCUGUCCUCGGGCUGUGGGGCUGUUCCUUCUCUGGAUCGCCCUCUGCUCCCCAUUCCUGGGCUGUUGGCUUCUGCAUCAAGUCCCCUCACUGCUGCCCCCUCAACACACACACACACACACACACACACACACACUCACCCAGAGGCAGGGCCAGCCUGGUCUUGGCGUGCAAGAGGCCAGCUGGGAUGGGGGACCAAGGGGUCUGGUGAGCAGGGCACGCCCCUGGAAAAGGCAAAUUGCUUUAUUUAGUUGUCAGUUUAGGGACAAGAACUACUGUCAGGGAGGCCACUUUUAGGGGUUCCUUGAGAGUGAUUUUUUUGCUUGUUCCAAAUGGGGAACUCAGCAUCUGCUCAGACAGCCUUGGGCCUUUCCUUCCAGAGAUGCCCCUGAGCCCCCAGAACGAGUGUGGCACCACCGGCCAUGUUGGUGGUUGUCCUUGGAACCUGCUCCUCACCGGCGGUAACGGGGAGGCUUUCUUUCCCCAAGGUUUGGGGGUUCUUUGUUGCUUGUUUUAGAAAUGAUAGGAGACAUGAUUCCCUUGGCUGGUUCUCAGGGGACUGUCUGUCCCAGGGAGAGCGGGUGAGGGUGGCGAUGGCAAAACCUCAGGCAGGGAGCCCCCAGCCUGGAACCUUGCCCCUCUGUUGUCUGUCAUCCACUGCAGCCAGGCAGCAGGGAGCAGGGUUUGCCACAGCCAGCAUCAGGAACCUUACAGGAGCACACGUCAGCCAUCAUCUGGAGGGACGUGAACUGUGCGUGCACACAGCAUUAUUUAUAGAACAAAAACUAGCGCCAACACACAUGUCCAAUCAGAGGAUGUGGGUCAGCUAAGUGACGGGACACUGGAUAUGGGACACACGUGGCCCUUACGCACCAGAUACGUGAAGAGUGUUCAUUGGCAUGGGAACUGUUCAUUAUAUAAGGCCAGGUGAGGAGGAAGCAGAAUGCAAACCAGGUGUGCCACAUAAUGCCCACCUGGACAACUAAGGAAAAUAAAGCAAUUCGCCUGCCAGAGAGCAGGUGCCAAGAAACACAGGCCACCACUUUGCUGUCCAGGGUCCCAGGGCUGAGCUGUCCUCCCGGGAGGUCCUGCAGGGGGCCUGGGAAGUGGGGGAGGCAGAGUGUGUGCUGCUGGCUUAACAGAGACCCUCUGCCAAAAUGUGGGAAAAGGAGAACAGAGGGGUGCUUGGGGGUGAGGAGAUGGCCCCAAGGUGAGGUCCUAAGACACAAGUGGCAGUUAGGAGCUCAGACUGAACCAAAGAGUGACCCAGCCCACCCAUGGUCAGCUCCAAAGAGCGGCGCAUGAGCCCCCUGUCUUCUGUGUCUGUCCCUGUCUCUGUCUCUGUCUCCAUCUUUUCCCUUUUUUCUAGGCUAGAAUGACACAAUAAGCAGAUUUGGUUCUGGUUCAAAUAGAUUCACUAAAAUUUACAAAAAGAAACAAAAUACCCUACAAAGCUUCAGUUCCCUUCUUAAAGCACAGGUCCUUAUGCAGGUCUCAGGUAUCUGUGAUCUGCUGGGGUCUGGGCAGUCCUGUUGGACCAGGGGGUCUUUAGCAGGCUCUGAGUGACACCUGGUGUGUGGCCUCAGGCAGACAGGAAGCACAAUGCACAGGUCCCCCCCCCCCGUAAGGACCCCCUGUCCGCUGGGGUCCUGCCACGCACUUGCUGGUGGUGUGCCGUUCGCAGCCAUUCAUCAUUUCUGGCCUGCAGAUUAUUCCAGGGCUGAUUAAAUUAGCGAAUGCAAUCACAAUCUGAAGCAAGUUAAUUGAGAGGAUUUAUUUGGGCCUGACAGUUUUAUGCAUGUUUGAUUAAGUAUUAUAAGGUUGGUUUUUGAUUUUGCAUAAUUUAACUUUAAAUUCUGCGCUGGGGGGCCAUCAACCAUUAACGACCAAAAUAAACCUCUUUUAAGAUGCAUCUAUUUAUGAUUUAUUUUUGAAUGCAAUAUCUUCCAGGGUUUUUUUUUCGAUGUUGUUACCAAAGUGACAAAUACAUGAAAAGUAACAUUUUGAGCAAUGCAUUGGCCCUAUAAAUCUUCUGGAAUGUAUACAAUUCAUUAAAAGUUUUGAAAGAAGUACAAGUUAGCAUUUAUAUUGCAACAAGUGACAUAUAAAUGCUUAUGUUUGUCCUCUGAGCCUGCCGUAAAAUACAUCCUCCUGGCAGGGCUCCUGGGACCAGACAGGUCGCCCACGCUCUGCAUGGUGAUAACUCUGCCACAGAUCUUGCCUCCUGUCAGUGCAGCGCUGCUCAGUCAACAGGAGGGUGAGCUGUGUCUUUUGUGAAAUUAGCAUGGGAGGAAAAUACAGCCGGGACACUUGGGCAGCUGGAAGGGGCCAAACCCAGCUGCUCUGGACACUUUUCAAACCUCUCUGGGCCUCGGGCUCCUCGCCUCUCUGUCUCCUCUCCAUCCUGACCCCGCCAGACCAUCCUCACCACGGGGCAGGAACCCAAGGGUCAGGACCACACGUGCCACGGAUAUUGGGCCCUUUGCACUUGACAGGGACUGGGUGUCGGCAGGUUGGGAUGAGGGCUCAAUUAGGUGACGUGCAGGCACUUAGCUCCUGCAGGUGGAGAGGCUGCGGCCCCGGCGGUCAGCCAGAAGGGGGUCAGUGCCCAGUUGUCUUCUGUGCAGGGCGCCGGAGGAUCUGGCCUCACGUAGGGCAUCCAGGAAUGAAAACAGAGACCAAGACCGGAACUCCCCGCCACCCCAGGGACAGACAGCGUUUCCACCUGUGUGGAACUUGCAGAAUCUCUGAACGUGAUGGAAUUCAGGCGGAUGGAACUUAUCAGCUACGUCCAAGGAGAAGUGUCUCCCACUCCUGACACCUCCGUAGGAGUAAAAUAUUUAAAAACGCCUGCGUGGGCCUUUCUGCCAGGGGAAGACACGGAGUAGGGUCGUUCAAGCCCCCCCUCCCGCCGUCGUCACGUCUGGGUCAGAGUCUCCCAACGGCUGCGGAAGCUUUCCAUCGGAGGGUCAGUGCUGAAAUGGCCAGCCAGAGGACGAGGAGCCGGUCUGCGGAGGGGUGGACGCAGCCACGAAGGCCGCACGGGGACAGGAGAGCUGUGGGGCCGGAGAGGGCUGGCUCAAGGGACGGUUCUCAAGGGCCCGGUAUGCACCUCACUGAGAAAGAGACUGUUACUGGUGGUAUCGGAGAUGACACUGGAGAGCAUUGCCUAAAAGGCGGUUUUGAACAGUGUGGGGAAACUGAGCGGCUGAACUCAUGACCGACCGAGGCGGUGGCGAGAAGAGAGGCUUUGCGCCUCUGAUGACCGUGACGCUGGAGCCAAGACUGGCAUUCGGAAACGCCGUCCUGGGAAUGGCCACGACCGUGACGUAAGGAAAGCCCUGUCUAAACAGGAGAUGGCGGGUGCCUCAUCUGGCCAUCGGGCGAAGUGGUUCCGGAAACUUCGGUGGUGGUCAGGGAGGUGGAUUUGGUGGGAACGACGACUUUGGUCAUGGAGGGGACGCCAGUGGUCGAGGUGGCCUUGGUGGCAGGCGUGGUGGUGGCAGUGGGGAUGGCCAUCGUGGGUUUGGUGAUGGUGGAAGCAGCUUUGGAGGUGGGGGGAGCUACAGUGAUUUGGGCAGUUACAACAAUCCGUCUUCACCUUUUGGACCCAUGCAAGGAGGAAACUUUGGAGGCAGACGCUCCGGCCCCAGUGGCGGUGGAGGCCAAUACUUUGCCAAACCACGAAACCAAGGUGGCUGCGGCGGUUCCAGCAGCAGCCGGAGCUAUGGCGGUGGCAGCAGGCCAAGAAACAAAUCUUAGCAAGAGAGCCCAAGAGGUGACGCGGAGGCCUCAGGUGACGGAUUUGUGAACUCAGCCAAGCACAGCGGUAGCAGGGCCUCGCUGCUCCCAAGAAGCCAUGUUUUAGACAAUACUCGCGUGUACAGACUGCAUUUGUGCCUAAGUGUGUAACAGGUUAUUUUGGUUUCUGUUCUGUGCAAAGUGUAAAGCGUCCCAACAAAGGGUUUUCAUGCAGAUUUUUUUUUUGCACCCAUGCUGUUGAUUGCUAAAUAUGUACUGUAAUAAUCUGAUCAUGA